GUAGGAGACAAUGGUCCACUCAGGCAAGGAAGCUUCCCUCAGCUCCAUCAAUUCAAAGUGUCUUCAGUGCCUAUUUUUGUUGAAUAUCCUUCUUCUGCUAUGGCUAAAACCAUUUAUUCUUUGUAACAACCAUAAACUAAAAUCCAUCAUCACCAAAAAAAAAAGAAAAAAGAAAAGGUUUCCUUGCCACUAGACAAGUUUCCUAUCAUUUUGGAAAUUUUAUUCAAUGAGGACUAUCCACAGCAUAAUACUUCCAUAAUUCUGGAAAUUAAUCAGGUACCAUGCUGCCUUGCUGGAAGAACACUGGUGGUAAAAGAUGGGCCUCCAUCAACUGUCUGAACAAAUUAUGGAAUAUGAACAGAAUUAAAUAGUAUUAUGCUGUAAGAAAUUAUGAUGCUACAAAAGGGACAGUUUUAGAGAAACCUGAGAAGAGGUAUUUAAACUGAGACAAAAUAAAGUGAAUAG